rnacentral:rRNA from 1 species
GACGAACGCUGGCGGCGUGCUUAACACAUGCAAGUCGAGCGGUAAGGCCCCUUCGGGGGUGCAUGCUCGGCGAACGGGCGGGUAACACGUGAGUAAUUUGCCUAUCCCUUCCGGAUAACUCCCUUCAACCGAAGCUAAUACCGACUACGACCACCCCCCUGAUCGGUUGGGGGUGGUGGGUUCCGGCGGUGGUGGAUGAGCUCGCGGCUUAUCAGCUUGUUGGUGGGGUAGCGGCCCACCAAGGCUUCGACGGGUAGCCGGCCUGAGAGGGUGACCGGCCACAUUGGGACUGAGAUACGGCCCAGACUCCUACGGGAGGCAGCAGUGGGGAAUAUUGCACAAUGGGCGGAAGCCUGAUGCAGCAACGCCGCGUGCGGGAUGACGGCCUUCGGGUUGUAAACCGCUUUCGGCUGGGACGAAGCGUGAGUGACGGUAACGGGUGAAGAAGCACCGGCUAACUACGUG